rnacentral:lncRNA from 1 species
AUUGAUAAGUGCAAUUGAUUUUAUUUUUCUUAUGUUUAUUCCUUACUAAGAUAUUAAGAAGUGUGUAAAUUUUGAGAUGAUAUCAAUAGUUUGAUCAUUAGUUUUUGAGGUUCUAUUUUGUUAUAGAGUUUGAUAAGAAUUUAAGAUGUAAGAUUUGUUUAGGAUUUAAGAUUUUAUUAGGAUUUUAUUAGUACUUGAUUUAGAAUUUGAUUAAAAUUUAAUUAGUA